UCAGACCGCUCCGCCUCCCGCUGCUCCAUCCUGCCCGAGCUCCCCUCGCCCCCGCAAGCCGCCUCGCCGGCGACCCCACACCUCCGCCGCGCCCCGCCGCCUCGCCCCUUCCCUCCUUCCUCUCGAUCUCCUCUCACCUCUGUCUCUCUUUCUUGCUGAACAGGGACCUCCAGGAGGGCCAUGGCGCCACUAGCCCUCGAUCUCGCCAGAUCCGGCCGCCUCCACGCCAAAUCCGCCGGAAAUGGAUCCAUCCCGUCCAGAUCCACCCGGAUCCGACCGGGCCCCCCAUCCUCGCCACUGGAGCACGACGGUCGGCGGGAGCGGCAUGACGUCGGGUAUGUAUGAGAGAAGAGAGAGAUGAGCAGGAGAGAAAAAGGGAGGACAAGAGGAGGCCAGAGGAAGAGAGAUGGGAGCGGUGACCGCGUACGACCGCCCCGACCACACGGUCGCGGCUUGGCCACCGCGGCCUCCGCGCGGAGCUUCGCGACUACGACCAGCCGGAGGUGGAGGCCAUCAUGUGGUGGGCCGUCAGGUCGGGCUUCAGGGACAACGUCGUCCUGCUCCGCAAGGUCAUCGGCCCCUACCUCAGCGCUAACGGCAGGUGCGUCAACGUCGACCACAGAGCCAGCUUCCCCUCCAGUAUUGGAUCGUCGAGCGCUUCCCUGCCAGGGAAGAUGGCAUACCUGCCUUUCCUGCCCUGCAUCUGUGAAGUAGCUACUGAGCAGUGAGGCCAUCGAGCGACACCAGACCGCGGGACAGCGUGAGAAGAGGCAGGGGGUGUCUGGCGGGAUGGGGAAGACCACGAGGAAGUGUGGCGAUGGAGUGCAAUCCCGAAGAAGAAGAACAUUGCAAAGAAAGACCCUAGCCAAGCGCCACCCAAUUCUCUUUCAUUGACCUAUCUAAUGGCCAUCAAUUCAAUUGGUCCAAGCUGCUGCGUUUGACCUUCCCACUGACCCACUACAUCCUCGCUCAGCUGCUUCUGCUAUGUUUCUUCUCCAUGGCAUUGUCGGCUGCCAGUGUGCCUGACAUCAUGCCUAUGUGACCUCAUAUCAUGCUCCUCUACGUGUUCUUCUCACCCUGGUUCCAUGAGGAGAGAUGUUGUUCUGUGGUUCUGUAGCUCUACUCCAUAGCAAUGAUGGAGUCGCCUCCAGAUGGGAUAGCAAUUAUCUCGGGAUCAUGGUGAGGUUACUGAGUCGACCCUUCAUUUGGCUCUAUUCGUGUGGAUCUAUUCAUGUGCAUCCGUAAACUGUAUUUAGGUACAACUAUUGUUCUAGCACUUGUGUUUAUUAUUUUUGUAAAAAAAAGAUAUCUUGAUCUCAUUAAAUUGGGGUUUUAUGUUGACAUGAAAUUCUAACUGAAUUUGCUAUUUAGCUGACAAUUCCAACAAUUUCUUGUAUUGUAUUUGCAUGUACGGAGCUGCCUAAGCAACGGCCAGGGGGCAUAUGCUUCUCCUACCACUAACAUCUUCAUCCUAUUUGAGCCAGAAUAGCUUUGGUGCCCUCUCUCGCUCAUGGUGAGGCCGUGCACGCUUGCCAUGGUUGUGGCUACGAAAUCUCAGACUGAGUCGCUUCGGUCGGGCACUAUUCAGAUUAAUGUGGGAAUUUCUAGCACAUUCCUCUUUUACGGUGACGCUAGAUUCGAAUUUGAAGGCGUACUUGCCCCUGAGCUGGCGGUGCAUGAGGACAACGACGACAAAAUUCUGGCAUCGUCUCCAAGCUCCGUCGCAAGCAACGCAGGAACGCCUCAGGCUCAAAGUCGGGUUGCUGUGCAGGCGAGCGGCAGCAGCCACUUACGUCUCUUCCAAGAAGGGCGCCACCUUGGAGGAGCAUAACGACACCAGCUGCAGCGGCGCACGAGCCAACAAAGGGGCAGGACCAUUGGAGACGACGGACACAGAGGUGCAUGCUAGGCAUGCCGAUCAUCAGACACUAGGGAGCGAUCCCACCCGUGAUGCCGCAGUACACGCAGCCGUCGCCGCCACCGCCACAUGCCAUGAUCUACGGGCAAGUGCCUGCUCAGCAGCGUACAAGAGAGAUCACCGCGGGGCCCUACUCGCCAAGACGAUGCUUCUCUUAUCGUGCUUAUUUACUUGCCUUCUAUGUGUGACGAGAAGGAGCGGGAGAUUCAGAGGCUCAGGUUGGCAUCACUAGGUGAGUUCCCUGCUGAUUUGUCGAGCACGGGAUAUAGACUAUAGUCGGGUUCCUUCCUAACUCUGCUGGGCCUAAUGAAGAGAAAGAAUCAACUUUUGAGAUUAAUUGGCUAGAUCCAAGCAGGCAGCUGCACAACAUCGUCAAGGAGAAGAUGAGAACAAUGCGAUGUUCAAAGAAGCAGGCUCCAGUUUUGGUAAAUGAGUAGUGAUGUUGCAACCACCAAAACAAAUCUGAAAAAUAAGACAAAGACAAA